ensembl:lncRNA
AUGCUCCUUGUCUGCCAUCAUCUGCCCGCCAUCAUGCCUCAUGCAUCGACUCUCAGCGCCCUACCCAGCUGCAUCUUAUUCCGUAGCUCUUUCACAAAAGUGACAAGCCCUACCGGUACUGUGCGCUCUUCCUCCUCCAUGCUCCUCACCACACCCCCUACACGGCUGUCAUCCAUGGGGCCCCGAGCUUGGCUAGAGCUGUGCUUAUAUAUACGCACACUCCUAAGUACAAGUCCAUUUUGGAAAAUUCCAUCCUUUGCAUGGCAAGGUUCGUACGCACUCCUUAUGCAAAAAUAUGUGCUUGAGUACAUCCCUCAUUUAUCAACAAGGUUGAUAUAUAUAAUCAGUUGAGGAAAUCACAAACAAAGGAAUCAGUUGAGGAAAUCACAAACAAAGGUUGAUAAAUGCGGCCCCUGAAAAAAAAGAGGUCCUAAGCCUCCCUACGCCAGACCCCUCCGCCUCACUCAGAAGCCCUCAAAAGCCUCUGCAGCAUCGCCCGAGGACCUGGCAACAAGGCCCAAGCUACAGUGCCUGGACCUUUCGGACCCGGCUGGCGGGGCUGGGGGUGCCCAGUGCCCACCAGAAGCUGGCCCUUGUGCAGGCCAUCCGGCGAAGCCUUCUGAUGAAGAUGUGGGCCAAAUACCAGCCCAGCGAAAGAGCGCAACCAGGGCCGGCGCUGGCCGUUUCGGUGCCCUGGACAGGACUUCUGAGCGGGGGGGGGGGGUGAGCACCGGCCCUGAGUGAUAGGUUAUGCAAUUAAGGAAAAACAACGGUGGGCCUCUUCAUAACUAAUUUAUAUAUUUUUGUAAUUCAAUAAUGUGAGAAUUAUUAAAUUUUUUGCAGCCCCCCCACCAGGUACUUGGUGCCCUACGCACUCUGCGUAUAGGGAGCGGCGGGCCUGAGCGCAACAUUGUGGUUCCGGAAUUAAAAUCACAUUCAUUUUCUCAAUAGAGGUUUUGAUUAAAAGCCAUAAUGUCAUAACCAUCCAAGGUAUACUUGCCUGAUUGUUACCAAAAGCUUUUUUGAUAUCAAUAAAUACCCCUACUGCAUUUUUAGUUGAAUGGCGUUUGUUAUUUACCUCAAAAAGAAUCGUGGGAUGUAUCGAACCGUGGGUCAACAAUCGUGAUACAUACCGAAUCGUGAAUUUGUGUAUCGUUACAGCCCUAAUAUAUAUAUAUAUAUAUAUUUAAUGCGAGUGAUGUUGAUCAGAUGAAUCUGAAUAUUCAUGAAUCCAAAUUGACUUAACUUGUGCUUUUCUAAGAAUGUGUCUAGUCUAUUGUUGUCGAAAUCCCCACAAUUAAUUCUUUGACCAAUGUCCUGUCGAUGUCAUUAAAAUCUGUGGACUUUUUGUUUUUACAUUUUCUAAAAAUAUCGAAUAUUUCUGUAUCCUCCACUGCUUUGAGAAACAGCAGUUGAGGAGCUUCUAAUGCUUUCAUUCCUAUGAAAAAAAGAUAUUAUUUUUUAAAGAAGUACAAUGAAAGCAGUGGAAGCUCCUCCACUGCUCGGUUUCUCUGUAUUGCAUUACAAUAAUUAUAUUUCUAUAUAUUAC